GAAGCGAGGCUGUGAAGCGGAGNAAAUCUCAAAAACCGGUCCCAGUUCGGAUUGUAGGCUGCAACUCGCCUACAUGAAGUCGGAGUUGCUAGUAAUCGCGGAUCAGAAUGCCGCGGUGAAUGCGUUCCCGGGUCUUGUACACACCGCCCGUCACACCAUGGAAGUUGGGGGCGCCCGAAGUUGCCUAAGAAAUAAGGUACCUAAGGCGAAACCAAUGACUGGGGUGAAGUCGUAACAAGGUACC
rnacentral:rRNA from 1 species